UGGAAGAGAGGUACUUGAUUCAUUUAAGGGGAAUUAAGUAAAUGCAUUCAUCAUUAUUUGGCCAUACUUGGAAAGAAAGAACUACUCUUGUUAUCUUUUUGGUGGUUUCUCAAAUUUCUCAUUAUAUCUUCAUUCCUAAAACAUUUCCUCUUCUGACCAAAACACACAGGAAUGAAAAGAAAGAAGAAAGAAUAUUUUUGAAUGCACAUGUGCUUGCAUACAUUAUCAUAUCAGAGCAAUUACAAGGAACCAUUAAAAAUGUUAAUCACUUGGAAGUCUAGAGUGGAGACCAGGUGGUAAAAAGUUUUGAUAAUUAGGUAAAUUUGAAGGUGAUUUCCAGACUUCUAUUAGAGGUCUGUAUCUGGACUUCCCUGGUGGUGCAGUGGAUAAGAAUCCACCUGCCAAUUCAUGGGACACAGGUUCAGUACAUGAUCUGGGAAGAUCCCACACGCUACCGAGCAACUAAGCCCGUGCACCACAAUUACUGAGCCCUUGCUUUACAGCCUAUAAGCCACAACUAUUGAGCCCAUGUACCUAGAGCCUGUGCUCUGCAACAAAAGAAGCCUCGGCAAUGAGCAGCCCAUGCACCACAACUAGAGAGUAGCCCCUGCUCGCCACAACUAGAGACAACCCGUGCAAAGCAAUGAAGACCUAGUGCUGCCAAAAAUACAUAAAUCUAAAUAAAUAUUUUUUUGUAAAAGAGGUCUGUGUGCAAGGUAAUAAGACUUUGGCAUUUGAGGCAUUGAGUUAAUAAUCAGCAUUAAGAGAAAGAGCAGUUAUACCUAAUAGAUAGGAAAUACAGUCAGCCCUCCUGUAUCUGUGGGUUUCAUAUCCUCAGAUUCAACCAACCACAGAGAGAAAAUACUCAGAAAAAAAUUCCAGGAAGUUACAAAAGGCAAAACUCGAAUUGGCCUUAUAGUCAACUAUUUACGUAGUGUUUACAUUACAUAAGUAACAUAGAGAUAAGUAUAUGGGAGGAUGUGAGUAAGUUAUAGGCCAAUAUUGUGCCAUUUUAUAUAAGGGACUUAAGGAUCUGAGGGAUUUUGGUUUCUUCAGUGGUCCUGGAACCUAUCACAAAGGACAUGGAGCAACACUGUAUAUCCAGAUAAAAAUGAGACUGAAGUAUUCCUACAUCACUGAGACUUGAGUCCUAGAGUUUCCAAUGUGCUUGUUAACAGUCUUAUGGACUCUACGGGAGAGGGAGAGGGUGGGAAGAUUUGGGAGAAUGGCAUUGAAACAUGUAAAAUACCAUGUAUGAAACGAGUUGCCAGUCCAGGUUCGAUGCAUGAUACUGGAUGCUUGGGGCUAGUGCACUGGGACGACCCAGAGGGAUGGUAUGGGGAGGGAGGAGGGAGGAGGGUUCAGGAUGGGGAACACAUGUAUACCUGUGGCGGAUUCAUUUUGAUAUUUGGCAAAACUAAUACAAUUAUGUAAAGUUUAAAAAUAAAAUAAAAAUUAAAAAAAAAAAAAACAACAUAGCAUCCAGGUACGUCCUUGGCAGUCCAGUGGUUAAGACUUGACUUUCCAAUGCAGGGCGUGCAGGCACAAUCCUUUGUUGGGGAGCUAAGAUGCCACAUGCCUCAGGGCCCAACAGUCUGUUAUAGAUGAGCCAUUGUGCUAGGCAUUUAGGACAUGUCCAUAAAGAGUCAAGGUUCUUGCCCUUGAGGAGAUCAAGAGGUAUAAGGAAGACUUGUAAAUAGAUUAGGAAAU
ensembl:lncRNA